GUGAAUCAUCAAAUCUUUGAACGCAAAUUGCACUCUCUUCGGAGAGUAUGCCUGUUUGAGGGUCAGCCUACAAAAAAUCGCCAUCGUUGCUGUUUCGCGGUGGCUUUCGUCGGAAAUUGGGUUAUCUUAAAUCUUUGGUUUAAGCGACUUAAAAUUUUCUUUACGAUUCCAUGAAAGUUUCCAAGAUUUAUUUCUUUACACGUUUAAGGUAUCAAUUUUAUUAGACGUAGACUGCAU
rnacentral:misc_RNA from 1 species